GCUGCUUUGCUGACGAUUGCGGACGGGUGAGUAAUGUCUGGGAAACUGCCCGAUGGAGGGGGAUAACUACUGGAAACGGUAGCUAAUACCGCAUAACGUCGCAAGACCAAAGAGGGGGACCUUAGGGCCUCUUGCCAUCGGAUGUGCCCAGAUGGGAUUAGCUAGUAGGUGGGGUAAAGGCUCACCUAGGCGACGAUCCCUAGCUGGUCUGAGAGGAUGACCAGCCACACUGGAACUGAGACACGGUCCAGACUCCUACGGGAGGCAGCAGUGGGGAAUAUUGCACAAUGGGCGCAAGCCUGAUGCAGCCAUGCCGCGUGUAUGAAGAAGGCCUUCGGGUUGUAAAGUACUUUCAGCGGGGAGGAAGGGAGUAAAGUUAAUACCUUUGCUCACUGACGUUACCCGCAGAAGAAGCACCGGCUAACUCCGUGCCAGCAGCCGCGGUAAUACGGAGGGUGCAAGCGUUAAUCGGAAUUACUGGGCGUAAAGCGCACGCAGGCGGUUUGUUAAGUCAGAUGUGAAAUCCCCGGGCUCAACCUGGGAACUGCAUCUGAUACUGGCAAGCUUGAGUCUCGUAGAGGGGGGUAGAAUUCCAGGUGUAGCGGUGAAAUGCGUAGAGAUCUGGAGGAAUACCGGUG
rnacentral:rRNA from 1 species